UGAGGUAACGGCUCACCAAAUCGACGAUCAGUAGCCGGCCUGAGAGGGUGGACGGCCACAUUGGGACUGAGACACGGCCCAAACUCCUACGGGAGGCAGCAGUGGGGAAUAUUGCACAAUGGGGGAAACCCUGAUGCAGCGACGCCGCGUGAGCGAAGAAGUAUUUCGGUAUGUAAAGCUCUAUCAGCAGGGAAGAAAAUGACGGUACCUGACUAAGAAGCCCCGGCUAACUACGUGCCAGCAGCCGCGGUAAUACGUAGGGGGCAAGCGUUAUCCGGAAUUACUGGGUGUAAAGGGAGUGUAGGCGGGAUGGUAAGUUAGGUGUGAAAUGCGGAGGCUCAACCUCCGAGCUGCACUUAAAACUGCUGUUCUUGAGUGAAGUAGAGGUUGGCGGAAUUCCCAGUGUAGCGGUGAAAUGCGUAGAUAUUAGGAGGAACACCAGUGGCGAAGGCGGCUUGCUGGACGAUGACUGACGUUGAGGCUCGAAAGCGUGGGGAGCAAACAGGAUUAGAUACCCUGGUAGUCCACGCCGUAAACGAUGAUUACUAGGUGUGGGGGGGGCUGACCCCUUUCCGUGCCGCAGUUAACACAAUAAGUAAUCCACCUGGGGAGUACGUUCGCAAGAAUGAAACUCAAAGGAAUUGACGGGGGCCCGCACAAGCGGAGGAACAUGUGGUUUAAUUCGAUGAUACGCGAGGAACCUUACCCGGGCUCAAACGGGGAGUGACUCAGGCAGAGACGCCUGUUUCCCACGGGACACUCCCCGAGGUGCUGCAUGGUUGUCGUCAGCUCGUGUCGUGAGAUGUUGGGUUAAGUCCCGCAACGAGCGCAACCCUUAUUGUUAGUUGCUACGCAAGAGCACUCUAGCGAGACUGCCGUUGACAAAACGGAGGAAGGUGGGG
rnacentral:rRNA from 1 species